CUAUACAUGCAGUCGAACGAACUCUGGUAUUGAUUGGUGCUUGCAUCAUGAUUUACAUUUGAGUGAGUGGCGAACUGGUGAGUAACACGUGGGAAACCUGCCCAGAAGCGGGGGAUAACACCUGGAAACAGAUGCUAAUACCGCAUAACAACUUGGACCGCAUGGUCCGAGUUUGAAAGAUGGCUUCGGCUAUCACUUUUGGAUGGUCCCGCGGCGUAUUAGCUAGAUGGUGGGGUAACGGCUCACCAUGGCAAUGAUACGUAGCCGACCUGAGAGGGUAAUCGGCCACAUUGGGACUGAGACACGGCCCAAACUCCUACGGGAGGCAGCAGUAGGGAAUCUUCCACAAUGGACGAGAGUCUGAUGGAGCAACGCCGCGUGAGUGAAGAAGGGUUUCGGCUCGUAGAACUCUGUUGUUAAAGAAGAACAUAUCUGAGAGUAACUGUUCAGGUAUUGACGGUAUUUAACCAGAAAGCCACGGCUAACUACGUGCCAGCAGCCGCGGUAAUACGUAUGUGGCAAGCGUUGUCCGGAUUUAUUGGGCGUAAAGCGAGCGCAGGCGGUUUUUUAAGUCUGAUGUGAAAGCCUUCGGCUCAACCGAAGAAGUGCAUCGGAAACUGGGAAACUUGAGUGCAGAAGAGGACAGUGGAACUCCAUGUGUAGCGGUGAAAUGCGUAGAUAUAUGGAAGAACACCAGUGGCGAAGGCGGCUGUCUGGUCUGUAACUGACGCUGAGGCUCGAAAGUAUGGGUAGCAAACAGGAUUAGAUACCCUGGUAGUCCAUACCGUAAACGAUGAAUGCUAAUUGUUGGAAGGGUUUCCGCCCUUCAGUGCUGCAGCUAACGCAUUAAGCAUUCCGCCUGGG
rnacentral:rRNA from 1 species